ensembl:lncRNA
AUCAUAAGGAAUAGUAUAGGUACAUUUAAUACAUCAUAUUUAUUUGUUUUUGGACAGAUAAGAUGUUCAUGCUGUACGUUUCAAUUGGUAUUGCUGCAUUAGUGGUGGUGGUAAUACUAGUUCCCAUGUCAGCUUGCCUAUUGACUAAGAAGGGGUAAGUUACUAUUUUAUUUAUUUUUGGAUGGAGUUAAGUAGAUUUUUUUUGAUAGCUGUUUUAUUCUGUUUUGAUAACUUGGCAUUUUUUCUCAUCAGUGGGAGGAGUCAUAGUGACCAGCCAGUAGCCAGUAUACAGGACAUGGAUGCAGCCAAGUGUGCUUCCUCAGAUCCCUCAACAUCAAGGAAAGAGCAGAAAGACACCAGCAGUGAAAUCCUCACAAACUACUACACCAACGAUCAGCUAUAUGGCAACAUGGAGGCUGAAGAAGAUGGCGACCCAUGCGAAUGUGUUGGUGGAGACGAUGCAAUCUAUGGUAACAUUUGAACACAACAGGAAGCAUGUGGGAGUCAGCUGGCUCAGAGGCCAUUGUACUUAGUCUGUCAAAAGCUCCAGUAAAAUAUUUACAUUUUAACCCAAUGUAGCACAGCAGCCGACUGCUUAUUUGUUAGCUUUAUUGUUCUUAUGGCUAAAGAAUAUAGUACAUUCUUAUUUGUGUUGUGGCUUGUGUUAUGGCUUUCACAAGGCUUUUGUUUGUAUCUAUGGCUUGGGUGAAUCAAAAUGAACCUGAUAUGAAUGGCUAUACAGUUAUAAUUAUUGGGAAGUGUAUAUACAGUAUAUUAUUGUUUUUGUGUUGCUCCUUUCAACUGUAAUCCACUUAUGUGUAACUGACACUCAGGUCAGCACAGUGCUUCUGUGGUCCCCUUGAAUGUACAGACAGAUAGAGUAUACUAUAAUUUGUCAAAACAGGCCAUAUUGAGAUAUACUGUAUGUACUUGAGAUGGAGAAUACAACGAUUGUAAAGUAAAGUACCUUGAACAUUUUCUCCAGAUCAGAUUGAAUAUGAACAUGUGUAAAUGUUCAACAACAACAGUGAUCAAAUGAAAAAUAUCUGUGUUUCAUUGCAUUUUAAUAUAGUCUGUAAUGUUUGUUUCUGAAUAUCCCAAUCUACUAGCGAGUUAUUUUUCAUCCUUUAUGUUCUUACUGGGACACGCUGACCCACAUUGAUCUAAUGUGUGGGAAAAACAAACAUCUAUUGUUAUCAUAAAUCAACUUCAAGUACUCAAGGAAUGUAAAUGUCAAGCAGAAGUAAUUGUUAGUCACCAAUGAGCUGCUGUCUCCACUUGUCUUCCUCUUCUCAGGGGUCUUCACUGGUUAUCACAGCCACAAAGUCAUAAACCCCACCUAUAUCUACAAAUUAUCUCAUUCAAAUCUGCUUUUAAACCCAACUCUAACCUUAAAUUAAAAACGAAACACAUUUUUGUUUUCAUAGAUUAUAAGGAUAUAGUCCGUUGACAUUGUGGCUGUGUUAUCUAGUUGAAACUCUUCACAGGUCGUCGUGGCCUCUGUAAAUCAACACAUCUCCUCCUGUUGGUUCAUAGAAGGUUAAAUUAAUUAAAAACGAAACACAUUUUUGUUUUCAUAGAUUAUAAGGAUAUAGUCCGUUGACGUUGUGGCUGUGUUAUCUAGUUGAAACUCUUCACAGGUCGUCGUGGCCUCUGUAAAUCAACACAUCUCCUCCUGUUGGUUCAUAGAAGACCCCUGUUUAUGUGAAAUGGAUUGAGGAUUGAUGAGCAAGAGAAGUAGAGGACUAAAAUGUGAACAAAUGUAAUUAAUGCACCACCAGUUCUGUCUGGUCUGCUCUAGAUUCACAUCAAAGAUUAUCAUGACAAUUUUGUUGUAGAUUUGGAUCACAAUAAAUGGUGUUGCAGUAAAAGCCCAUCUAGAGAAUCUAUCCCAAAGUGAUCCCCUAUAAAGUUAUAUACACAAAGGGAAUGUUGCUUAUUUUUUAAUACAUUCUGGAACUGUGUACUCACUCCCCAAGAAUACAUAGAAUAAUGAAGACACAUCCUGUGCAGGCUAAUACAUUUUAUUUUACCUUUAUUUAACCAGGCAAGUCAGUUAAGAUACACACAUUCAGUGGGUUAACUGCCUGUUCAGGGGCAGAACGACAGAUUUUGUACCUUGUCAGCUCGGGGGUUUGAACUCGCAACCUUCUGGUUACUAGUCCAACGCUCUAACCACUAGGCUACGCUGCCGCCCCAACACAUAGCCACUGAGAGAUGAAAAUAGGACACCCACAGGGGUUUUGAUGGUGAUAGCAUCGAAGGAGCAGGCUACAUUCAGUAAUAAAAUAAAGUGUUACAGCAUUUGUGUUCAGCACAUUCUUUGCUUGUAAUCUGUUAAUUAUUCACUGUAACAUUUGAUACUUUAUCAUCUUAAUGGUAAUGAUUAGUUGAUGCAUUCAGGCACUAUAACCACUAUCUACUGUAUGUAUGAAGUCCUACAGCUACCCCACUUGUUACUUCCUGACUGAGUCACUGCUCAACUUGAUUAGAAAAGCCAUACAUGACAAGCGAGGGUGGGGCGAUCUAUGUUGCACCAACACUUUCUCACCAUACACAUGUCUACUGGAAGACCAGUCAUUUUUAUAAGGUAAAGACAAUUUUAAUAAUUGUGUUAGUUUAGGAUAUACUGUGUGCAGCAUUUUUGCUUGGAACUGUUACUGUAUUUAGAAUUGGGCAUGACUAAUGAUCUUUAUCAAUAUUAAGGGUUGAUUAGUGAAAUAUGUCUACCUAGUCGAAGCCAUAGAGAUCCUAUUAAAUUACUAGAGUGGCUAUGUUAUAAACCCUCAAAUUUCCUGAAUGUAUGAAAAUGCCAGCCAUUGUUGACAGGGAGAAUUCCAAACCAGUCAAAUUGGCAUGAG